UACGUAGGGGGGCUAGCGUUGUCCGGAAUCAUUGGGCGUAAAGCGCGUGUAGGCGGUCCGGUAAGUCCGCUGUGAAAGUCGGGGGCUCAACCCUCGGAUGCCGGUGGAUACUGUCGGGCUUGAGUACGGAAGAGGCGAGUGGAAUUCCUGGUGUAGCGGUGAAAUGCGCAGAUAUCAAGGAGGAACACCAAUUGCGAAGGCAGCUCGCUGGACGUUACUGACGCUGGAGACGCGAAAGCGUGGGAGCAAACAGG
rnacentral:rRNA from 1 species